AACAUAUUGUAAAGGUAUUUAUUAAAAGUAUACAUCAGAAACCAAUUUCACAAAAAAUUUGAAGUUAAAAGUUAAUCUUACAAUAAAAAUAUUUAGGUGAAUUGUUUAGGAAUAUUUUAGACAUACGAUAAAUUUUACACUUAAGAUUUUUUGUGAAAAGGGCUACAGGCUUUUUUCUGCUCGUUGGUCAAUUGUUGUCUCUUUGACAGAUUCCCCAUUUCCAUUCGCAAUUUUAUCAUGUUUACCUUUACUUUUAACAUUCUGACAUUACUGC
rnacentral:lncRNA from 1 species